rnacentral:rRNA from 1 species
GGGCUUACACAAGCGGUGGAGCAUGUUGUUUAAUUCGAUGCUACGCGAAGAACCUUACCCGGGUUUGACAUGUGUGUGGUAGGAGCCUGAAAGGGUAACGACCCUACUUUGUAGGGAGCACACACAGGUGCUGCAUGGCUGUCGUCAGCUCGUGUCGUGAGAUGUCGGGUUAAGUCCCUUAACGAGCGCAACCCUUGCUUGUAGUUACCAGCGGGUAAUGCCGGGAACUCUACGAGGACUGCCGGCGUCAAGUCGGAGGAAGGUGGGGACGACGUCAAGUCAUCAUGGCCCUUACGUCCGGGGCGACAAACGUGCUACAAUGGUAGGUACAGAGGGAAGCAAGCCCGCGAGGUCAAGCAAAUCCCCAAAAGCCUACCCCAGUUCGGAUUGGAGGCUGAAACCCGCCUCCAUGAAGUUGGAAUCGCUAGUAAUCGCGGAUCAGCCAUGCCGCGGUGAAUGUGUUCCUAAGCCUU